GGGCAUUUCGAAGGCAGGGCGGUUGGUGGCGCGGGCUCGGCCGUUAGCUGCUGCUGCCCGGGAGGAUUCGCGGGGAGGGGGCGUCCUGUCCCGCUGCUCACUCCACAUCAACAGGUACUGCUGACAUACGAUGGACUAAGCAAGUGGGGGCACUCGUGGUCCAUACUUCGAAAUAACCUAUCAUUGUGCACCAUGCUUUAAGCUAUGAGAAGAUUAGCUUUAUGUAGAUGCUGCCAGACCUGCUGAGCUUUUCUGGCAACUUCUGUUUUUGUUCCUGAUUUACAGCAUCUGCAGUUCUUUUGGUUUUUAUCCCAGAUCAGCCCACACCGGAUCAGUUAACUAUUCUACCUGCCAUAUAAGUUGAAGACAACUCUGGAAUAUGGUGAGCACUUUCUGUGCCUUAGCAACCACAUCUCCCAAAAGAUCACCAUAGUUUUUCUAAACAACUUGUUUGGAGAUAUUAUUACACACUCUGAAGCAGAUGAGAUUUAAACCUGGGCCUCCCGGUUCCACUGUGCCACAAGAAUGCCCCCAAAAUUCACCAUCAAAAAGAGAUCACGGAUCAGCUGCCUCAGCUUAGCCUUAUACAAGCUAUAGCAGUACAUUUUUGAUAACAAUGAUCUCUGCUAGUCACUAUGGCUAAUGAGAAGAAAAUACAGCAAACUUCCAAGGGCGCAAAGAUAAUCAUCGAGAAGCUGCCAGCAAAGAGUGGCAAGAAGAGGAGAAAUUCCAGGAAGGAAAGUUACUCCAUCUACAUCUACAAAGCAAUGAAGCAGGCUCACCCUGACACCAAAAUCUCCUCCAAGGCCAAGGAGCAUCAUGAACUCAUUUGUCAAUGAUAUUUUUGAGGGGGAAGCUUCCUGCCUGCCCCAUUACAACAAGUGGAAUACCAUCAGUUCCUGGGAGAUCCAGACCACAUGUACUGCUGCUGCCCGAUGAGCUGGCCAUCUGAGGAAGGAUCACCAGACCCGAAACGUUAACUCUGAUUUUUUUUCUUCACAGAUGCUGCCAGACCCUCUAAGUUUUUCCAGCAACUUCUGUUUUUGUUCAUAACAUUCCCACUGGAGUAGGAAUUGGCUUAUUAACCAAUUCUCAAUCAAUAAUAUAAUCCCAAUCUUAUGCACUACUUUUGUUUACUAACCUCUUGUCUGGGAUCUUAUAAUCUAAAAAAUCCAAAUACACCACAUCCAAUGGUUCACCUUUUUCUCUUCUUUCAGUAAUAUCCUCAAAAAGUUCCAACAGAUUUGUCAAAUAUAAUUUACUUUUCAGAAAUCUGUGUUGACUCUGCCAUUUUUACUUUUUUUUAAUAAAUGUCCAGUUAUCACAAUCUUUGUGAUUGAUAUUUUCAUUACUACUGAUGUCAAACUAACACAUCUGUAGUUCCCCAUUCUUCCUCUCCAUCCCAUAAAUAUUGGGGUUACAUUUACAGUUUUCAAGAAUCUAUAGAACUUUGAAAAAUAACCACCAAUGCAACCACAAUUUCGAUAAUCACCUUGAUCAUGAUGGAAUGAAGCUCAUUUAUUCCAGGAAAAUUAUCAUCCUCAAUCUGGUUAACUUUUCAAGUAAUUCCUCUUUCUAUUACUAAGUCUUUCGUUUCCUCAGUUUCACAAAUCCAUUGGUUGUCUAAUAUUUCUGCUCUCUGUCUCCAAAGAUCUGGUUUGAGAAAUGAUUUACAAUCUCACAAUGACCCAUCACAGAAACCUGUGACCUAGAGUUGGCAUCAUCCUCAAAUUGAGGGACAGUCAACCACAAUAACAGAACUCAAAGUUACAAGAAAAGGAUGUAGAUCUCAGUUUUGAAGUGAUAUUAUGUUGACUAAAUUAAGAUUUGUUGAAAAUUUAGAUCACAAGAGUAACUUCAAAAUGUAUGAUAUAUAGCAAUUUACUGUAAAUUAGAAAUAGAAGUACAAAAUUGCUAAAAAUUCUGCUAAGAGUCAGGUGAUCAGUGGUAGACUAGUUGUUUGUUUUCUCUAAUCUGGUUGGCUGCAACAGAUUUUCUUUUGGAAUUUGCCAGUUCAGUGAGUGUUUAACUAUUUCACAUGCUGUGACUGUAAAAGACACCAAUUUCCUUGUACAGUUAAAAAAGGGGAAAAAAUUAUUGUACUUGACAGCUAUUCCAUGGACAUGAUUAAAAAUUGUUUCAAUUCU